rnacentral:rRNA from 1 species
GACGAACGCUGGCGGCGCGCCUAACACAUGCAAGUCGAACGGAGCUGUUUUCUCUGAAGUUUUCGGAUGGAAGAGAGUUCAGCUUAGUGGCGAACGGGUGAGUAACACGUGAGCAACCUGCCUUUCAGUGGGGGACAACAUUUGGAAACGAAUGCUAAUACCGCAUAAGACCACAGUGUCGCAUGGCACAGGGGUCAAAGGAUUUAUCCGCUGAAAGAUGGGCUCGCGUCCGAUUAGCUAGAUGGUGAGGUAACGGCCCACCAUGGCGACGAUCGGUAGCCGGACUGAGAGGUUGAACGGCCACAUUGGGACUGAGACACGGCCCAGACUCCUACGGGAGGCAGCAGUGGGGAAUAUUGCACAAUGGGGGAAACCCUGAUGCAGCGACGCCGCGUGGAGGAAGAAGGUCUUCGGAUUGUAAACUCCUGUCCCAGGGGACGAUAAUGACGGUACCCUGGGAGGAAGCACCGGCUAACUACGUGCCAGCAGCCGCGGUAAAACGUAGGGUGCAAGCGUUGUCCGGAAUUACUGGGUGUAAAGGGAGCGCAGGCGGAUUGGCAAGUUAGGAGUGAAAUCUAUGGGCUCAACCCAUAAAUUGCUUUCAAAACUGUCAGUCUUGAGUGGUGUAGAGGUAGGCGGAAUUCCCGGUGUAGCGGUGGAAUGCGUAGAUAUCGGGAGGAACACCAGUGGCGAAGGCGGCCUACUGGGCACUAA